AAUGUCGUAACAAGGUUUCCGUAGGUGAACCUGCGGAAGGAUCAUUUACAAAGUAAAUGCUGGUAGGAAGUGGGGUCUUGAUCUGUAAGGUGGUAGAGCGAGCAGUUCCGGCUGCCUCCCGAAAUGUCUUAUAUGUCCCCCACAUGCUGAAGGCCGAAUUUACAACCCUUGAUUAUCUACACUUGUUGCUUUGGGGUGCUCAAGUGCCCCAGAGGACCCAACUCUCUUGCAUUUCAGUGACGUCUGAGUACUAUAUAAUAUUUAAAA
rnacentral:misc_RNA from 1 species